rnacentral:rRNA from 1 species
UACAGAGACUGCAAGCGUUAUUCGGAUUCACUGGGCGUAAAGGGUGCGCAGGCGGCCAAGUGUGUUAGGCGUGAAAGCCCGGGGCUUAACCCCGGAAUUGCACCUAAAACUACAUGGCUAGAGCAUUGGAGAGGGUAGCAGAAUUCACGGUGUAGCGGUGAAAUGCGUAGAUAUCGUAAGGAAGACCAGUGGCGAAGGCGGGUCUCUGGACAGUUCCUGACGCUGAGGCACGAAGGCCAGGGGAGCAAACGGG